rnacentral:rRNA from 1 species
UACGAAGGGGGCAAGCGUUGUUCGGAAUUACUGGGCGUAAAGGGCUCGUAGGCGGCCAACUAAGUCGGAUGUGAAAUCCCCAAGCUUAACUUGGGAACUGCAUCCGAUACUGGAUGGCUUGAAUCCGGGAGAGGGAUGCAGAAUUCCAGGUGUAGCGGUGAAAUGCGUAGAUAUCGGGAGGAACACCUGUGGCGAAAGCGGCGCACUGGACCAUAACUGACGCUGAGGCGCGAAAGCUAGGGGAGCAAACAGG